rnacentral:rRNA from 1 species
UGGGGAAUAUUGGACAAUGGGCGCAAGCCUGAUCCAGCCAUGCCGCGUGAGUGAUGAAGGCCCUAGGGUUGUAAAGCUCUUUCACCGGUGAAGAUAAUGACGGUAACCGGAGAAGAAGCCCCGGCUAACUUCGUGCCAGCAGCCGCGGUAAUACGAAGGGGGCUAGCGUUGUUCGGAUUUACUGGGCGUAAAGCGCACGUAGGCGGACUUUUAAGUCAGGGGUGAAAUCCCGGGGCUCAACCCCGGAACUGCCUUUGAUACUGGAAGUCUUGAGUAUGGUAGAGGUGAGUGGAAUUCCGAGUGUAGAGGUGAAAUUCGUAGAUAUUCGGGGGAACACCAGUGGCGAAGGCGGCUCACUGGACCAUUACUGACGCUGAGGUACGAAAGCGUGGGGAGCAAACAGG